GACGAACGCUGGCGGCGUGCCUAAUACAUGCAAGUCGAGCGAAUGGAUGGGAGCUUGCUCCCUGAAGUUAGCGGCGGACGGGUGAGUAACACGUGGGCAACCUGCCUGUAAGACUGGGAUAACUUCGGGAAACCGGAGCUAAUACCGGAUACAUUCUUUCUUCGCCUGAAGAAAGAUGGGAAAGAUGGUUUCGGCUAUCACUUACAGAUGGGCCCGCGGCGCAUUAGCUAGUUGGUGAGGUAACGGCUCACCAAGGCAACGAUGCGUAGCCGACCUGAGAGGGUGAUCGGCCACACUGGGACUGAGACACGGCCCAGACUCCUACGGGAGGCAGCAGUAGGGAAUCUUCCGCAAUGGACGAAAGUCUGACGCAGCGACGCCGCGUGGGUGACGAAGGCCUUCGGGUUGUAAAGCCCUGUGGGGUGAGACGAACAGCUGGGAUUCGAAUAGGGUCUUGGUCUGACGGUAUCACCUUAGCAAGCACCGGCUAACUCUGUGCCAGCCGCCGCUGUAACAC
rnacentral:rRNA from 1 species